GACGUAGGGCGCGAGCGUUGUCCGGAUUUAUUGGGCGUUAAAGAGCUCGUAGGCGGCUUGUCGCGUCGUUCGUGAAAACUUGGGGGCUCCAACCCCAAGCUUGCGGUCGAUACGGGCAGGCUGGAGUUCGGUAGGGGAGACGUGGAAUUCCUGGUGUAGCGGUGAAAUGCGCAGAUAUCAGGAAGAACACCCGUGGCGAAGGCGGCUCUCUGGGACGGUACUGACGCUGAGACGCGAAAGCGUGGGGAGCGAACAGG
rnacentral:rRNA from 1 species